AGAUAAGGAUUCAAUUUGCUAGCUAUUUCAGACGAAGAUUCAUUCAAAUUUUGCUGCAGGUUAGAUUUAGUUACUUCUCAAUAACCUAUAUUAUGUCCUUUAAUCUCAGAAGUUUUAUUUGUUGAUUUUUCAAACUCCUUAGUUACAUGGAACUGAUCAGUAGUAUUUGCGCAUUCUUAGCAGACAGGUCAUGUAUGUUGUUAAUCAACUUCAACGAAAAAAAGUAAUUGCAUUGUAAUUUGUCAGCAAAAAUUUGUCCAUUGCUAAUCCAUGUUCAAAACUCAUUGGAACAAACACAGGUAUGGAUCUAACUUGGUUUAGGGUUCUACAUGCUAUUAUGUUUAAAGUUCCUUGAAUUUGAUGCCAGGUGAGGCCGAGGACCGUGAUGAAGAAGUUUAUGAAAUUUGUGUGGGUCAGAUCACGUAGGUUGUUAACCGAC
rnacentral:lncRNA from 1 species